AUGUUGCGGGGCCAUAGCUCAGCCGGUUAGAGCACCUGCCUUUUAAGCAGGGUGUCCUGGGUUCGA
rnacentral:tRNA from 1 species